rnacentral:rRNA from 1 species
GAUGAACGCUGGCGGCGUGCCUAAUACAUGCAAGUCGAGCGAACAGACGAGGAGCUUGCUCCUCUGACGUUAGCGGCGGACGGGUGAGUAACACGUGGAUAACCUACCUAUAAGACUGGGAUAACUUCGGGAAACCGGAGCUAAUACCGGAUAAUAUAUUGAACCGCAUGGUUCAAUAGUGAAAGACGGUUUUGCUGUCACUUAUAGAUGGAUCCGCGCCGCAUUAGCUAGUUGGUAAGGUGACGGCUUACCAAGGCAACGAUGCGUAGCCGACCUGAGAGGGUGAUCGGCCACACUGGAACUGAGACACGGUCUAGACUCCUACGGGAGGCAGCAGUAGGGAAUCUUCCGCAAAGGGCGAAAGCCUGACGGAGCAACGCCGCGUGAGUGAUGAAGGUCUUCGGAUCGUAAAACUCUGUUAUUAGGGAAGAACAAAUGUGUAAGUAACUAUGCACGUCUUGACGGUACCUAAUCAGAAAGCCACGGCUAACUACGUG